ACCUUAAGCUUCUACCUUCUACUUAUUCGCACUGUCAUUACACAUAUAACAUUAAAUAAACUAAUGCUAAAUCCUCUAGGAGUAGUAACUAAUCAUGUUCAAAUAGUGAACUAUCUUCCUAUGUCUCUUCAUGCACUUAUUGUACGAUAAUUCUGCUAUGUUCCAGUAUAGAUCUUUUUUUCUUCUAAAAAUUUUUAGUGUUCCUUUCAAUAGUAUAUAAGUGUUGCCUGCAAGAUUAAAAUAAAAUGAAGAAAAAAAUAUCAAAAGCCUGAUAAAAGAUAAAAUAGCAAUACACAAAAAUUAAAGAACCACAAUACAGAGAGAGAGAAAGAGAGAGAGAGAGAGAGUUCUUCAACCAAAGUAAGAUUGAACAUCUAUUUGGGAUAUAUCCCAUGUUGAAUACAACACUCCUCAAUAUAGAUCACCAUGAUAGCAAAUGCAUGUUGAUUGCACCAUUCAUAGCCAAUUAUCUCCAAUGCCACCUACUUCAAAUUUAUAAGUUGCUUCAAGGCUUCAUGUGGCUAUAUAAUAUAUUUAAUUGAUAGUUAUUUCUAAUAAUAAAAAUUACUUGAAGCUUUACCCUACAAUCACGAUCUAGAAAUUCACACUUAAUAAAGGAAAUAGGUACAUUAGAUAAUCAAACUCUUCGAUGUCGAGCCCUGUUUCGAACCGGUCAAAACAGCACACGGCAUAUAAUGGCGCUAAUGACUCUUGGGAUUUGAAAAUUUAUUUUUUAGAGUCGCCACCUAACUUUUUAGGAAAAUUAGGAAAAAAUCAUUUUUAGUAGAAAACUCUGUUUGGUCUUCCAAAAAUAUUUUAGAGAUUCUGAGUAAGGAUUUUGGUUACUCGAGGGGAAGGUGUUAGACACCCCUCAGAGCCUAUUCGAAGAUAGUCCUUACAUUUGGUUUAGAAAAAUAUUUGGAAAAAUAUUUAUUUCGCUAUUUGCUUUUAAAAUGGUGAAAAUUUUUUGUUAUUGUUUAUUAUUCAAAAGAAAAUUUUAAGGUAUGUCAAACAUAAUGCUACCAUGUACAAAGGAGUGAUGCAAUUAUCGCACAAUAUACAUGCACUUUAAGUAUGAAAAGGGUGAUAAUAUAAUUUCAAUAUAUUAGAAGGUUAAAAGUCUAAUAGUUCUAUAAGAGAAUUUGAAUAUAUAUGGACAUAAAUAUUUAGCUACAUUUAAUUAUGGGACAAAUGAAGUAUUUUUUAUAGCAUGAGAGUUUAUUUACGAAAUGUACUUUUCAAGAGUGUGAAAAGAUAGGUAACAGAUUAUAAAUAUGUUGGAACAUAAUAAUACUAAUACUACUACUACUACUACUACUGUUGUUGUUGUUGCUACUGCUACUAAUAAUAAUAAUAAUAAUAAUAAUAAUAACUAAUAGUAAUAAUGAUAGUAAUCGAAAAUAGAAGUAAUAAUAAAAUCGGUGAUGUUUAAAAGUGAUGAUAAUUAUGAUGCAAUAGUAAAGUAGUGAUAUUGGUAACGAAUAUGAGCGAUAGUAAUGAUGAAAAUAAUUUUAGGUAGUAUUGAAAAAAAUAUACCUUGUACGUAGUAGCGGAUGAAUAUAUUUACCUUGCAUUUAUUUUCUUGGAGGUUUGAAAAAUUCUAAUAACGUUUGUAAAAUAACAUAACAUGUUAGCAUUAUCCAUCAAACAAAUUGAAAUCGGUGAUUCAAAUCUAAAAUUUGUGACUUACUUUUUUACUAAUUUAAUUCCAAAGAUUCAUUUUUAUUCUAAAUAAUGAUGAGAAUUACUGCGUUCAUUUAUUAGCUAGCCUUUUAAAAGCAAGAUGACUUAACUUAACAAUUGGCUAAAUUUAAGAUUCACUAAUUCUUUUAAAAUCGCUUCUAUGGAUUAGUUAGGCGUUAAUCGCAAUAAUCUGACAAUAAUGUCUCAUUUUUAAAAUAAAGAUCGGCACAUAAUGAAGAGAUUAUAAAAUGAUGAAUUAAUAAAGUUAUCACAACAAAGCAAUAAUGAACAUAAAGUGAGCUGCAAAACAAUAAUAAUGAUAACAAUAUAAUACGGACAAUUUAAUGGAGGACAAACUAAAGGAGAAAUUAGACUCUAUUUCGGGGUUUGACUUUCAAGUAAUGCGACCCCAAAGAUCUGCGACCCUAUUGGCGAUUGAAUCGAUGUUAGGUCAAGACGAGUUUCGUUGAGGAACUACAACUCCCGAGUGUUCCAUGUAAAAGAGAAAAAAAGAUAAAAGAUUAAUAAUUCAAAACAUCCCAAAUAAAUCAAAAAGACGAAAUUAAAGAAAAAAAUCAAUAAACAAAGCAUCGCGUAUGAUUAUUUAAACUUAAUCGAAAUACGGUAAUUUAGCAACAUAUAAUAUAAAAACGAUCCUACGCUCUACACUCAAAGCUCAUGCAUAACAUGUUCAACAUUGGAUAGAAUAUAUUAUUUUGUUGUUCAUUCGCCCAUAAUUAUAUAUAUCACAAAAAAAACUAUCAAAUAGAGAAUUGAGCCAUCCAAAAAUAAACAAAAUAGUUAUAAAUGAAUGGUCCUACGCACAGUUUUUGCUAGAAAGAUAUGACCCCAAAAGUGAAGGUGAACCUUACUAGUAGUUUUGAACUACAUGCCUUUUACAAACACAAACAUCCAAGGAUGAAAAAUAGUCAUUAUUAAAAUUAUAAUGUAGGACUAAGGCAAAUUAACUAUCCCAAUAUUAACUUAGAAGUCCAUUAUUUAUGUACUAAAACAUCUAAUAUGUAACAUUCAAAUUUACUGCAUUCUCUUAACCAAGAUCCAAACCCAAUUGGUGAAGGAGAGUGUAACUAAAAGUUUCUCAUAGUAACAAGCAUACACUUCAUAUUUUUAAAUUUUUUUACUUGAGGCAAGAAGGAAUUUUUUACUUGAGGCAAGAAGGUUUUAUUUCAGGAAUUAAAUUUUGCAAACAACACAACCUGUCUAAAGAAAAUUUUAUUUCAGGAACUGAAUCUUGCAACAUGCACUGUUUCAUAAAAAAAACAUUGAUUACUGAUAUCCUCAAAUAGUUUUUUGACCAAAGCAGGAUGCAUUUUUUGACAAAUCAGGCUUUAACAGUAGGAUAAGGGGAACACCAUCAAACCAAGAAAGUUUAAGACAAAAUUAAAUUUAACACACAAAAAAUUCACGAAUGAAGAACACAACAAUGAACAAAUAAGAAUCUAAGGGAACCACAUAUUUAUUAAUCAGCUUUUGGAAUCAAUGUGAUCGAUACGAACUCACUUCCUAUAAUAAACAACAAGGACAUAACUUACUUAUCCGAUAUCCACAACAACAAAACUUAAGAGGGAAGUAAAUCGCAUAUUCAUAAGCCGCUCUUAUCGAAAUAAGUCCAUCCAUUUUUUCGAAUCAAUAAACAACCAUCAAACUAACAAUCCUACGUUCUAUAAAAAAUAAGAAAAAUAAGAAGAAAGAAAAGACGACGGGAACAACUCGUACCUUUAUCAAGGCAACAAGACUGGGGCGAU
rnacentral:lncRNA from 1 species